GAUGAACGCUGGCGGCGUGCCUAAUACAUGCAAGUCGAACGCUUUGUCUUUAAUUGGUCUGACGAGCUUGCUCUGAAGUGAUUUUAUCUGACAAAGAGUGGCGAACGGGUGAGUAACACGGUGGGUAACCUACCUCUUAGCAGGGAAUAACAUUUGGAAACAAGUGCUAAUACCGUAUAAUACCAACAACCGCAAUGGUUUGUUGGUUGAAAGAUGGUUCUGCUAUCACUAAGAGAUGGACCCGCGGUACAUUAGCUAGUUGGUAAGGUAACGGCUUACCAAGGCGAUGAUGCAUAGCCCGAGUUGAGAGACUGAUCGGCCACAAUGGGACUGAGACACGGCCCAU
rnacentral:rRNA from 1 species